rnacentral:lncRNA from 10 species
UAAUUUUAUGUAUUGGCAAACCGCUCUGCAUGAUUGUUCCUCUAAAGUUUCCAUAUGUGAAGUUAUGACAAAUAAGAACCAGGCCAUGCUGGAGCAGAUUAAAAUGGCUUGAGCAAAACAUUAUUAUUAAAUAGUGAACUGGUGACACCAAUAUUUCCUAUGGAUAUAGAUGUAGUCUUAUGACAAGGACAACUUUCAGUAUCACCAGUUAAAGCUAGUUUACUACUAAACUUGGCAAACAAAAUUAAAGAAACUGAUUCUAGCUUCCAAGAGAAAGAAAUACUCUCACCUCUUGUUUUUCUUUAAAGCAGACAAAUGGAAGACAUUAAAUACAGGUGCUUACACUAUGCCUUGCCCCCAGAUCAGUAAGUGUUGAAAUAAUUUUUUUAAUUAUCAAAAUUUUAUUCAGAGAAAUGUCUCAUUAAGUAAAUGCUUAGAAAAUGACAAGGCCUUAAUAGUACCUAGAAUGGCUUAAGGGUAUGUUUGCCUAAUCCUAUGUGAUCUUCACAUAGGCAAGUAUAUAUAUAGAGAGCCCCCCAAAAGGAUGGAGUUGCUGUGCCAGUUAUAAUUCCCAAGUGUUCUGCCAUUGGCAUUCUAAGAAUCAGCUCUGUCCAGGAUGAUAGUGAGUAGAAACAAUGUGAGACUAUUAACAAGGUUUACUCUAAUGAGGGUUAUGACGCAUGGCCAAGGCAUGUGCAGCCCUUUCCAAUCUGUCGCUUGGCAGUUUGUGUUGAAGAAGUUACAUGAUCAGAGUUUUAUGCUCAUAUAAUGGAUCCAAAGUCACCCAAAAUAUGUAGUAAGACGCAUAGACAAGUAGAUGUCUGUCCAUGGGCUUCUUGUUUUUAUCUGCUAUUAGUCAAGUGCAUCACUCAAGGUGAAGGUCUCAUGUGAGGGUGAUCUCACUUCAACAUCUGCCACCCACUGAUCACCAGGGUUGAUUCAGCUGAUGUCUGGCUAUGCGGGUGUCCCCUUUCUCCACUGUUCCACGUGUAGCCCUCCUCAAGUUGAAAACUUGGUUGAAGAGUAUGACCUUCCCUGAUAGGAAAGGACCAUUCUUUAAUAAAGGUGUGCAAGUAGCUCUGCAAGCUCUCAAGGUAAAGGUGUCUCCUGCACUGCCAGUCUUAUAGUCAAUCACUGCAAAUAGCAAGAAGCCUAAUUUCUGCGAGAUUCUAAGUUGCGAUCCAUCUUGCCAGUUUCGUUUGUAAGCAAGGACGUCUGCAUUUAAAUAAACAAAGGGCCUUGCAAACUUUUAAUAACAAGAAGUUCUAGAUAAGCUGAAGGAGAAAUAUUUUAAAUUCAUUUUUCUGCAGCCAAUUAGGCAUACAUAACAGUAAAUGUGACUUUAGAAAUGAAUUAAGUGACUACUGUAUUUUAAGUCUCUUUACAUUUAAGUAAAAGGCUUAGUCUGUCCAUUAUAGUAGAAUGGUUCCAGAAUAUUAUUAUCUUUUUU